GGAAGGCGCCGCGGCCUCGGCUUGGUUCGGCUGGGCUGGCUUCCCCCACCCGGCAACCCCUCCCCCAGGCAGCCUGCUGUGGGGCGGGGCGGGGGUCGGGCCGAGGGUCCCCAGGGAAGAAGGAGAGCAGGGCCCGUCUCUCCGGGGGAGACGACUCCCCCAACGGCCAUUCCCCAUCCUCUGCCAGUCCCGGGAAAGACUCAGCCCCUUGACUCGGCGCUUCAGCCAGGCCCUGGUCAGGGGACACGACUUGGCCAGGCCCAGGGGAUCCUCCAGGCCUCACGCCAAGCCUUGCCCCCAGCCAGGAAGCCCGCGGUGAUCGGGCUGCUGGACGUAUUCACUCCUGAUGAGACCCUGGAUGACUUCACGGACUUUUACCUGGUGAUGCCGUUCAUGGGCACCGACCUGGGCAAGCUCAUGAAACAUGAGAAGCUAGGCGAGGACCGGAUCCAGUUUCUCGUGUACCAGAUGCUGAAGGGGCUGAGGUAUAUCCACGCUGCUGGCAUCAUCCACAGAGACCUGAAGCCCGGCAACCUGGCUGUGAACGAAGACUGUGAGCUGAAGAUCCUGGACUUCGGCCUGGCCAGGCAGGCAGACAGUGAGAUGACUGGGUACGUGGUGACCCGGUGGUACCGGGCUCCCGAGGUCAUCUUGAAUUGGAUGCGCUACACGCAGACGGUGGACAUCUGGUCUGUGGGCUGCAUCAUGGCAGAGAUGAUCACAGGCAAGACGCUGUUCAAGGGCAGCGACCACCUGGACCAGCUGAAGGAGAUCAUGAAGGUGACGGGGACGCCUCCGGCUGAGUUUGUGCAGCGGCUGCAGAGCGAUGAGGCCAAGAACUACAUGAAGGGCCUCCCCGAAUUGGAGAAGAAGGAUUUUGCCUCCAUCCUCACCAAUGCAAGCCCUCUGGCUGUGAACCUCCUGGAGAAGAUGCUGGUGCUGGAUGCGGAGCAGCGGGUGACAGCGGCCGAGGCGCUGGCCCAUCCCUACUUUGAGUCCCUGCACGACACGGAAGAUGAGCCCCAGGUCCAGAAGUAUGAUGACUCCUUUGACGACGUGGACCGCACACUGGAUGAAUGGAAGCGUGUUACUUACAAAGAGGUGCUCAGCUUCAAGCCUCCCCAGCAGCUGGGGGCCAGGGUCUCCAAGGAGACGGCUCUGUGAAGAUCUCUGGGCUCCAGGGUGGCAGUGAGGACCACCUUCACCUUCCUCCUGAGAGGGGACUCUCGUUGCCACCUUGACCUUGACUGGGGUUUGCAUCCCGAGGCAUCCAUCAGAGCAGAGCCCCGGGUUCCAUGGACCCUCCUCCCCACAGCCAUGACUCUGCUCUUGGGUGCCCAUCAUGGAGGAGCACCUGAACUUUCUGGACAGGACCUCUGGCUGACCUGGGGAUGGCCUCUGAUCCCUGGAGCAGUGGCCCACUUGCCUGGUGCCCUCAGAAACCUCAGAGCUGGUGGGGCUCCAUAUCAGGCCUUGGCCUCUGAGCCCUGCCUGCUCUGGGCCAUGCAGAGGAAUGACAGAGGGCGGGCACAGGGCACCAACUCAGGGACAUCCCCUCUCCUGGGCGACGUCAGUGGACCUUCCUGCACCCCUAGCCUGGAAUGUAAAUUAGCUGUGUGGUGCCCACGUGGCUGGAAGGAAAUAGACCCUUUUGUAGCUCCCUGCUCUGGCUGUGCGUCCUCAUGCUGGGUCCCACCUUAAGACCUCCAAGCUCUUGGCCUGCAUGUAGAGGAGGCUGGCCUGAUAGCUCAGACCCUCAGAGUCAGUAGGGGGGCCUGAGCAUCCCAUCUCUCCCAGGCCACAAAGCUGGUGCCCACUUCCCCAGGCCUGUGCCAGUGAGCUUCGAACCCCCACCUUAGGGCUUAGCCCCUCUCCUUUUACCAGGUGACCUGCUAAUGGCUUAGACUCUAAGCCACUGUGUGUGGAUCCUGAAGCCAGACCCAGGGGCAGGGUGUGAUGGGGAGGAGCGUUAGGAUCUACCCUAGCUCUCUGCACCUUCCAAGGCCAGCAGGUCCCUGGGGGGAGGGGGCACACUGGACACGUUCAGACCCCUCUGGCCCCUGUGGCGAAGUGGUGAGCACCAGCAGGUCCCUGGGGGGAGGGGGCACGCUGGGCACGUUGAGACCCUUCUGUCCCGUGGUGGAGUGCUGAGCGAGGAGGGCUGGGUUUCAUUCUUGAUCAAACUUCUAGCCCCACCUACUACCGUGCUCCAGUGGUAUCUUCAUGCCCAGGCCGCCCUCUGCAGGCCACUCGGUGUUUCCAAGGGUGGCGGCUGGAACACAGGCCAUGGGCACCUCCGAACCUGUCCCAGGGCAGGGGUUACAGCAGAGGGACCAGUGAGGGGCAGGGCAGGCCAGGCGUCCUCAGUGGACAUGCCCACAGCUGGCCCAGCCAAAUCGGACCUGAUGAGCUACUACGAAAGAUAGGCCUUCUCUGCCCAGCGACCCUCAUGCCUCUCCAGGGCAUCCGGGCAUGGGGGACGUGACCACCAUCAACUCCGGAGCCACGCUGACUUGUGGCAUGGCUGCCGUCCACACUGGGCCCAGCUUCCUGCCAUAGGUGGCCUGAGUACUGGGGGCCUCAAAACUGUGUGAGCCAGCUGGAUGUGAACUCCGGCGGGGGCAGGGUGGCCCCUGGGCUCCAGGGGGACUCAGGUCUCCUCUCGGGCACCUUGCUCCGUGGCUGUGCCCGUGUCUCCUGCCUUCCUCACUUCCUCUGUCCCCCGCAACUCUACCGCAACUCCGGUCUAGCGUCCCCACCUCCACCGACCUUGACUCUGCCCUUGGGCCAGGGGUCGUCUUGGAGCUAGAACCGGACUCUCACUCCCUCCUUAAACCUCCGGGGCGGUGCUGCGCCUCGAUGCAGCCACGACCGCCUCGCCGCGGGCUCCACCCGCCUCGUGGCCUUUGCCCUGCGGACCUCUAGCCCUCCUCGCCCUUCACCCCAGGUCUUCCUGCGCCCGGGCCGGGUGGGCCUUGGGGCUGCGCUGGACCCUGACCCGGGAGCUGGGGCAGAACGGGGCUCUCAUGGGCAGGCUCUGCCACGGGCGUUCGGGUGGGGCUGCGGCGACCACCUGCGCAGUGCCUGCGGACCCCGCCCCUCUUGGACGGAAUCGGGGCGGGGCCGAGGGGGAGGUGGAGCCGCAGCGCAGCUCCGAGGGCUGGCGGCUCCGGGCGCCCUGGCUUCCGCGCCCACUGGUUGCUCGCUCCGGGGCAGGGCUCGCGAUAGCGAGCGGGAGCAGGGCGCGGGGCGGCACCGGGUCCGAAGCGAGGAAGCCGGAAGCCAGGCGCGGAGAGCCUCCCCCUUCGACUGCGGCCUCGCUUGGCGCCUUCUGCGCGCUUGGGAUCCCGGAGCCUACCUAGGUUCUGCGUGCUCCCGCCCAGGCCGGUGCCCGCUGCCCGCCUGCGCCCCAGGCGGGUCUCAGGCCCCGGCUGCUCCCGGCCGAAGGUGGGGACGGGCAGUGGCAGGCACCGCUAGCGAGGGCGUUUGGGGACCCAGGGUGACCACAGCGCAGCCAUGGGGACCGCGCUUGUGUACCAUGAGGACAUGACGGCCACCCGGCUGCUCUGGGACGAGUAAGUGGGACCUGGCCGAGGUGGGGUGCGGGGAGGGACCUCUGGACUGAACUCCUCAUCUGCCCCAGCCCCGAGUGCGAGAUUGAGCGUCCUGAGCGCCUGACCGCAGCCCUGGACCGCCUGCGGCAGCGCGGCCUGGAACAGAGGUGUCUGCUGUUGUCAGCCCGCGAGGCCUCGGAAGAGGAGCUGGGCCUGGUGCACAGGUCAGGACGGGGGCGGGCCCCACGAUGGGGGCGGGGGGCGGUCAGCCCACCUAUAAACCUAAGAACCUGGGCCUACCCCGAGCCUGCCAGCCUCUAAUACAGAGCCUCUCCCUGUGCACCUCGGGUGGGCUCACAGGCUUGAGGAAGUGACAGGGUGGCCACUCCCACCACGAAUCCCAGCUCCCCGCCCCCCGCCCCCCUGCUCCUGCUGGUGACCCUGCCUCUCCUGCCUGCCCAUGUGCAUGCAGCCCAGAGUAUGUAUCCCUGGUCAGGGAGACCCAGGUCCUAGGCAAGGAGGAGCUGCAGGCGCUGUCCGGACAGUUCGACGCCAUCUGCUUCCACCCGGUGCGUGUCCCCGGACACACUCACCUGUGCACACACAUGCACGUGCCUCUGCGCGUUCACAGCCAUGGCCGCCAACCCCAGCCGGUGUCCCCUGGUCCAUACACGUGACAUUGCCCUGCACACCUGCUUGCUGGCACUGCCAGAGCCUGGGGCUGGCCUGUUCUGCUCAGCAGCUGGUGUCUUGCAGCCUGGCACAAGUGUGGGUAUGGCCUGCAAAGGGCAGCAGGGAAGGCAGGGGGUUCAUCUGCGCCCCUGCACCCACAGAGUACCUUUCACUGUGCGCGGCUGGCCGCAGGGGCUGGACUGCAGCUGGUGGACGCUGUGCUCACGGGAGCUGUGCAAAAUGGGCUUGCCCUGGUGAGGCCCCCAGGGCACCACAGCCAGAGGGCGGCUGCCAACGGGUUCUGUGUGUUCAACAACGUGGCCAUAGCAGCUGCACAUGCCAAGCAGAAACACGGGCUACACAGGAUCCUCGUCGUGGACUGGGAUGUGCAUCAUGGCCAGGGGAUCCAGUAUCUCUUUGAGGAUGACCCCAGCAUCCUUUACUUCUCCUGGCACCGCUAUGAGCAUGGGCGCUUCUGGCCUUUCCUGCGAGAGUCAGAUGCCGACGCAGUGGGGCGGGGACAGGGCCUCGGCUUCACUGUCAACCUGCCCUGGAACCAGGUGCCCACCCUCAAGCCCCCUCCCCCUGGGCCCCUCCCCUGCCCCACAGUUCACCCUCAAGCCCCAGGUCCCCACCCAGCCCCCUUCCCCUGGGCCCCUCCCCUGCCCCACAGUUCAGGAUGUAGCCUGGGAUGUCCUGCCAGGUCGGGAUGGGAAACGCUGACUACGUGGCUGCCUUCCUGCACCUGCUGCUCCCACUGGCCUUUGAGUUUGACCCUGAGCUGGUGCUGGUCUCGGCAGGAUUUGACUCAGCCAUCGGGGACCCUGAGGUGAGGGCCUUGCCUGGCCAGGGAGGGCUUCUGGGGUCCUGGGGCCCAGGUCCCCCAUCACACAUGGCUCUGGUUCCAGGGGCAAAUGCAGGCCACGCCAGAGUGCUUCGCCCACCUCACACAGCUGCUGCAGGUGCUGGCCGGCGGCCGGGUCUGCGCCGUGCUGGAGGGCGGCUACCACCUGGAGUCACUGGCGGAGUCAGUGUGCAUGACAGUACAGACGCUGUUGGGUGACCCGGCUCCACCCCUGUCAGGGUCAAUGGUGCCAUGUCAGAGGUGCGAGGGGAGGUAGGGCAGGCGGGGCUGGGGUGUGAGGCCAGGUGUCACGACUGUUGUGUCUCCCCCACAGUGCCCUGGAGUCCAUCCAGAGUGCCCGUGCUGCCCAGGCCCCGCACUGGAAGAGCCUCCAGCUGCAAGGUCAGUGUGGCCGGGUGCUAGGCUGCAGGAUCCCACCUCGGGCUCCCGUGCAGUGGCUAUGACUCCGAACUGUCCCUAGAUGUGACCCCUGUGCUGAUGAGCCCCAGCAUUCUCUCCCCAGAGGAGAGGCCUCCACCUCUGCUGCCUGGGGGUCCAGUGUGUAAGGGAGCUGCAUCUGCACCGAGCUCCCUCCUGGACCAGCCGUGCCUCUGCCCUGCACCCUCUGUCCGCACCGCUGUUGCCCUGACAGCACCAGAUAUCACAUUGGUCCUGCCCCCUGACGUCAUCCAACAGGAAGGGUCAGCCCUAAGGGAGGAGACAGAAGCCUGGGCCAGGCCACACGAGUCCCUGGCCCGGGAGGAGGCCCUCGCUGCACUUGGGAAGCUCCUGUACCUCUUAGAUGGGAUGCUGGAUGGGCAGGUGAACAGUGGUAUAGCAGCCACUCCAGCCUCUGCUGCAGCAGCCACCCUGGAUGUGGCUAUUCGGAGAGGCCUGUCUCAUGGAGCCCAGAGGCUGCUGUGUGUGGCCCUGGGACAGCUGGACCGGCCUCCGGACCUCGCCCAUGACGGGAGGAGUCUGUGGCUGAACAUCAGGGGCAAGGAGGCGGCUGCCCUAUCCAUGUUCCAUGUCUCCACGCCACUGCCAGCGAUGACCGGUGGUUUCCUGAGCUGCAUCUUGGGCUUGGUGCUGCCCCUGGCCUACAGCUUCCAGCCUGACCUGGUGCUGGUGGCGCUGGGGCCUGGCCAUGGCCUGCAGGGCCGCCACGCUGCACUCCUGGCUGCAAUGCUUCGGGGGCUGGCAGGGGGCCGAGUCCUGGCCCUCCUGGAGGAGAGGACGUCCGGGCUCUGAUGUACCUGAGAGGGCAGCUGGAGCCUCAGUGGAAGAUGUUGCAGUGCCAUCCUCACCUGGUGGCUUGAAAUCGGCCAAGGUGGGAGCAUUUACACCGCAGAAAUGACACCGCACGCCAGCGCCCC
rnacentral:sRNA from 1 species